UACCAGCUCUCCGAGUGGUAGGGAUGAUUAUUGGCUUAAAGCGUCCGUAGCUGGCUUAGCAAGUCUUCUGUUAAAUUCAGCGACCUAAUCGUUGAGCUGCGGGAGAUACUACUAGGCUAGGAGGCGGGAGAGGUCGACGGUACUUUCGGGGUAGGGGUGAAAUCCUAUAAUCCCGGGAGGACCACCAGUGGCGAAGGCUGUCGACUAGAACGGGCUCGACGGUGAGGGACGAAAGCUGGGGGAGCGAACCGGAUUAGAUACCCGGGCAGUCCCAGCUGUAAACUAUGCGGGCUAGGUGUUGGGGUGGCUACGGGCCACUUCAGUGCCGCAGGGAAGCCAUUAAGCCCGCCGCCUGGGGAGUACGGCCGCAAGGCUGAAACUUAAGGAAUUGGCGGGGGAGCACCACAAGGCGUGAAGCUUGCGGUUC
rnacentral:rRNA from 1 species